rnacentral:lncRNA from 1 species
AUGACAGCCGCCCUCUGUGUGGCAGGAUAGACUUUGCUCUGUUUUAAGUCACUGGAGGAAACCGGUUGGCUUUGCUUUGGUUUUGAGAACCAGUGGGGAAGAGGGUAGGCAUACUGGGCUGGGCGCCUUUCCCUCUUUGAGUAGUUUUGCGUGAGAUAAGGAAGAGCAGAAUGUGUAAUUGUAGGGCCAAAAUAAUCUUGUUUGUAAACAGUGCCUGUGAGCUCCUUUAGUGCUUCCUAAUGGCCGUGCUGUGCAAGUUGUUGGUUGGGUUAAUCUAGACAGUCCUCAUUCAUUCAUUCAUUCAUUUCUCACAUGACCACAACAAGAGUCCUUGCCUAGAGGCAAGUGCUAGACAGCAUAGUGGUUAAGAGUAGGCUUUGGAGCCAGACUUCCUGAGUUCAAAUUCUGGCUCAGCAACUUUCCAGCUGUGUGUACCUGGGCACAUUGCUUAGUCUCCCUGUGCCUCAGUGUCUUCGUCUAUAAAACAAGGAUGAUAACAGAGAGAGAUAUUAU